UCGGGAAUUUUGGGCAAUGGGCGAAAGCCUGACCCAGCAACGCCGCGUGAAGGAUGAAGUAUUUCGGUAUGUAAACUUCGAAAGAAUAGGAAGAAUAAAUGACGGUACUAUUUAUAAGGUCCGGCUAACUACGUGCCAGCAGCCGCGGUAAUACGUAGGGACCAAGCGUUGUUCGGAUUUACUGGGCGUAAAGGGCGCGUAGGCGGCAAUUCAAGUCAUCUGUGAAAUCUCCGGGCUUAACUCGGAACGGUCAGAUGAUACUGCUUUGCUAGAGUGCAGAAGGGGCAAUCGGAAUUCUUGGUGUAGCGGUGAAAUGCGUAGAUAUCAAGAGGAACACCUGAGGUGAAGACGGGUUGCUGGGGCUGACACUGACGCUGAGGCGCGAAAA
rnacentral:rRNA from 1 species